rnacentral:piRNA from 1 species
UNCAGACUGGGUGAAUAGAUGAUCUGCUA